UGGGGGCGUCGCAUAGUGGCCAAUUGCAAGGGACUGUAAAUCCCUCUUCUUCGGAAUACGGUUGUUCGAAUCAACCCGCCCCCAU
rnacentral:tRNA from 1 species